rnacentral:rRNA from 1 species
GACGGAGGAUGCAAGUGUUAUCCGGAAUCACUGGGCGUAAAGCGUCUGUAGGUGGUUUAAUAAGUCAACUGUUAAAUCUUGAGGCUCAACCUCAAAAUCGCAGUCGAAACUAUUAGGCUAGAGUAUAGUAGGGGUAAAGGGAAUUUCCAGUGGAGCGGUGAAAUGACGUUGAUAUCGGAAGGAACGCCGGUGGCGAAAGCGACGGACUGGAUCUCUUCUGACGCUGAGGCGCGAAAGCCAGGGGAGCAAACGGG